AGAAAAUGUCGCAUACCAGGAAGCCCACUGGGGACCUGGGGCUCGACUCGCUAACCGAUCAGCUCCGUGACUCUCUUUGUUCUAUCGAGGCCAAUAAGCCUGAUUUCCGUGAACUGCUUUCCCGUUUCUCCUCUCCGAACCCGUGGACUUAAUGCUACCGCCACCACUGCUACUACGACAACUACAACCAGCUCCAGUUCUAGCUCCUCUGG
rnacentral:misc_RNA from 1 species